UUGAGAGGACAUAUAGAGAUUCAAUUUCUUCAUAAUAUAGACAUAGAGAGAGUCAAUUCCAGGGUCACGAUGAGGUAACAAAGACAGAGAAAGAGAAUCGAUUUCAGACUCGAGAGACAAAGACAGACUGCUGAAUCAAAGAACAUGAUGAGUAAUCAACUGUGAAUCCUUAAUUGUUUACUUGGAUUUAAUCGAAGUUAGAGUGUCAAUCGAAGAAAGAGGCU
rnacentral:lncRNA from 1 species